rnacentral:rRNA from 1 species
GACGAACGCUGGCGGCGUGCUUAACACAUGCAAGUCGAACGGAAAGGCCUGCUUUCCCUUGUGGAUUGCGGGUGCUCGAGUGGCGAACGGGUGAGUAACACGUGAGUGAUCUGCCCCCAACUUGGGUAUAAGCCUGGGAAACUGGGUCUAAUUCCCGAUAGGACUGCAGGGUGGUGCCUGUGGUGGAAAACGAUUUUCUAGUGGUUGGGGAUGAGCUCGCGGCCUAUCAGCUUGUUGGUGGGUAAUGGCCUACCAAGGCGGCGACGGGUAGCCGGCCUGAGAGGGUGGACGGCCACAUUGGGACUGAGCUACGGCCCAGACUCCUACGGGAGGCAGCAGUGGGGAAUAUUGCACAAUGGGCGGAAGCCUGAUGCAGCGACGCCGCGUGGGGGAUGACGGCCUUCGGGUUGUAAACUCCUUUCGACCGCGAGGAAGCCACCUGGUUGGAAGGGUGGUGACGGUAGUGGUAGAAGAAGCACCGGCUAACUACGUG